rnacentral:rRNA from 1 species
UGGGGAAUAUUGGACAAUGGGCGAAAGCCUGAUCCAGCCAUGCCGCGUGUGUGAAGAAGGUCUUCGGAUUGUAAAGCACUUUAAGUUGGGAGGAAGGGCAGUAAGCGAAUACCUUGCUGUUUUGACGUUACCGACAGAAUAAGCACCGGCUAACUCUGUGCCAGCAGCCGCGGUAAUACAGAGGGUGCAAGCGUUAAUCGGAAUUACUGGGCGUAAAGCGCGCGUAGGUGGUUCGUUAAGUUGAAUGUGAAAGCCCCGGGCUCAACCUGGGAACGGCAUCCAAAACUGGCGAGCUAGAGUAGGGCAGAGGGGGGUGGAAUUUCCUGUGUAGCGGUGAAAUGCGUAGAUAUAGGAAGGAACACCAGUGGCGAAGGCGACCACCUGGGCUCAUACUGACACUGAGGUGCGAAAGCGUGGGGAGCAAACAGG